AGCUUUGCACAGUGGCAGUACUGUAACCAGUGAGGUUUAUCCGAGGCGCAACUAUUGCUAAUUGAAAAAAAAAGUUCAAAAAUUGUUGACGGUAAGUUUUAAAAUAUAUGGAUAUCUUUUAAUGAAAAGA
rfam:Camelus ferus unplaced genomic scaffold scaffold36, whole genome shotgun sequence.